GAUGAACGCUGGCGGCGUGCUUAACACAUGCAAGUCGAACGAUGAAGCCCAGCUUGCUGGGUGGAUUAGUGGCGAACGGGUGAGUAACACGUGAGUAACCUGCCCUUGACUCUGGGAUAAGCCUGGGAAACUGGGUCUAAUACUGGAUAUGACUUCUCAUCGCAUGGGGGGGGGUGGAGAGAUUUAUUGGUCUUGGAUGGACUCGCGGCCUAUCAGCUUGUUGGUGAGGUAAUGGCUCACCAAGGCGACGACGGGUAGCCGGCCUGAGAGGGUGACCGGCCACACUGGGACUGAGACACGGCCCAGACUCCUACGGGAGGCAGCAGUGGGGAAUAUUGCACAAUGGGCGCAAGCCUGAUGCAGCGACGCCGCGUGAGGGAUGACGGCCUUCGGGUUGUAAACCUCUUUCAGUAGGGAAGAAGCGAGAGUGACGGUACCUGCAGAAGAAGCGCCGGCUAACUACGUG
rnacentral:rRNA from 1 species